rnacentral:rRNA from 1 species
AUUGGUUGUUUCUUUUGCAGCGCUUACUGCGCGGCGAAAAACCUUACACACAGUGUCUUUUUGAUACAGAACUCUUGCUUUGGUUUGGCCUAGAGAUAGGUUGGGCCAGAGGUUUAACAAAACACAAUUUAAUUAUUUUUACAGUUAGUCAAAUUUUGAAUUAAUCUUCAAAACUUUCAACAACGGAUCUCUUGGUUCUCGCAUCGAUGAAGAACGCAGCGAAAUGCGAUAAGUAAUAUGAAUUGCAGAUUUUCGUGAAUCAUCGAAUCUUUGAACGCACAUUGCGCCCUCUGGUAUUCCAGAGGGCAUGCCUGUUUGAGCGUCAUUUCUCUCUCAAACCCCCGGGUUUGGUAUUGAGUGAUACUCUUAGUCGGACUAGGCGUUUGCUUGAAAAGUAUUGGCAUGGGUAGUACUAGAUAGUGCUGUCGACCUCUCAAUGUAUUAGGUUUAUCCAACUCGUUGAAUGGUGUGGCGGGAUAUUUCUGGUAUUGUUGGCCCGGCCUUACAACAACCAAACAAGUUUGACCUCAAAUCAGGUAGGAAUACCCGCUGAACUUAAGCAUAUCAAAAGCCGGGAGGGAUCGCGGGGGGUUUGCGGGGAGCCUCCUCAAAAAUGACCAGAAGGAACCCCGCCGCUUUUUAUUAAGAAUAUCCCCACGCAGAACGAGGAGGGAGGUCGGUGACU